AGUGAACGCUGGCGGUAGGCCUAACACAUGCAAGUCGAACGGCAGCACAGUAAGAGCUUGCUCUUACGGGUGGCGAGUGGCGGACGGGUGAGGAAUACAUCGGAAUCUACUUUUUCGUGGGGGAUAACGUAGGGGAACUUACGCUAAUACCGCAUACGACCUACGGGUGAAAGCAGGGGAUCUUCAGACCUUGCGCGAUUGAAUGAGCCGAUGUCGGAUUAGCUAGUUGGCGGGGUAAAGGCCCACCAAGGCGACGAUCCGUAGCUGGUCUGAGAGGAUGAUCAGCCACACUGGAACUGAGACACGGUCCAGACUCCUACGGGAGGCAGCAGUGGGGAAUAUUGGACAAUGGGCGCAAGCCUGAUCCAGCCAUACCGCGUGGGUGAAGAAGGCCUUCGGGUUGUAAAGCCCUUUUGUUGGGAAAGAAAAGCAGCAGGUUAAUACCCCGCUGUUCUGACGGUACCCAAAGAAUAAGCACCGGCUAACUUCGUG
rnacentral:rRNA from 1 species